AUGCUGUGCAAGGUCAGGGAGGUUGAGGAGCAGGUCCUCUUAGUAGCGCCAUUCUGGUCCAGUCGAACUUGGUUCCCAGAACUAAUGCUCCUUGCGACAUCCCCUCCUUGGCGUAUUCCUCUGAGGAAGGAUCUCCUUUCUCAGAGAGGGGGCACACUCUGGCACCCAUGCCCAGACCUGUGGAAUCUUCACGUAUGGUCUCUGGACGGCACGCAGGUUCUAGGUGGUUUACCUCCAGCAGGAGUAAACACCAUCACUUCAGCUAGAGUGCCCUCUACGAGGCACACCAACACGAUGAAGUGGAACCUGUUCGUCGAUUGGUGUUCUUCCCACCGGGAAGACCCCCGUAGAUGCCCGAUCGCGGUUGUGCUCUCCUUUCUGCAAGAUGGGCUGGAGCGUAGGCUGUCUCCUUCCACUCUCAAAGUGUAUGUUGCCGCUAUUGCCGCAUAUCACGAUGCAGUAGACAGCAAGUCUGUUGGGAAGCACGACCUGAUCAUCAGGUUCCUUAGGGAGACAAGGAGGCUGAACCCUCCGCUCCCUCACCUGGUACCCUCUUGGGAUCUCCCCUUUGUCCUGACGGCCUUGAAGCAGGAGCCCUUCGAGCCUCUGCAGUCAGUAGAGCUUAAGUUUCUGUCGCUAAAGACAGUGCUCCUCAAUGCAUUGGCUUCAGUCAAGAGGUUCGGGGACCUGCAGGCAUUUUCAGUCGACGAUACGUGCCUUGAAUUCGGGCCAGCAAACUCUCACGUUGCCCUGAGACCCCGGCCUGGAUAUGUGCCCAAAAUUCCCACCACGCCUUUCAGGGAUCAGGUGGUGAACUUGCAAGCACUGCCCCGGGAGGAGGCAGACCCAGCCGUCACUCUGCUCUGUCCCGUUCGCACCUUGCCCAUUUACAUGAAACACAUGCAGAGCUUCAGGACCUCAGACCAGCUCUUUGCUUGCUUAGGAGAACAGCAGAAGGGAAAGGCUGUCUCCAAACAAAGACUUGCCCACUGGAUAGUGGAGGCUAUAAUCUUAGCAUAUCAGGCCCAUCGCUUACUGUGGCCCCUUGGAGUGAGAGCACACUCUGCAAAAGGUGUGGCAUCCUCCUGUGCAUUGGCACAGGGCACUGCGAUAGCAGACAUCUGUAGAGCUGCCGGCUGGGUGACACCUAACACGUUUGCGAGAUUCUAUAAUCUCUGUGUAGAGCCUGUGUCCUCUCAUGUACUCGCCUCAGAUGGCCGGUAA
ensembl:lncRNA